CUGGGAAAGAAUUGAAAAGAACACCACGUUCCAGAGUAAGAUAUUUUUGGAUGGAUCCGGAUACGAAUUGUAAUCCAAAGUUAAAAGUAGUAAUUGUAUUUGUAAUCCAAAGUCUUUAACCCCUUAAGGACCAAACUUCUGUAAUAAAAGGGAAUCAUGACAUGUCACACAUGUCAUGUGUCCUUAAGGGGUUAAAGGCCUGUAGAAGUUUGCAUUCCUUAGAUACAUUGCUGGAGG